rnacentral:rRNA from 1 species
UCUAAAUAAGGACUAGUAUGAAAGGCACCACGAGGGCUUAACUGUCUCCCUUUUCCAAUUAAUGAAACUGAUCUUCUCGUGAAGCUUUAAACUUAUCACCAUUUACUUCUUAUUACACCACUGUAUAUAGUAAAAUUUACUUGAUAGUUUUCGGCUGGGGUGACCCUGGAGAAAAACAAAUCCUCCAGGAUGAACGGAAUAAUAAUCCUAAUCAAAGAGCUACAGCUCUAUGAAUCAAAAUAUUGACAGAUUUGAUCCAAUUACUUGAUCAA